rnacentral:rRNA from 1 species
ACGCGUAGGCGGUUUCUAAAGUCGGAUGUGAAAGCCCGGGGCUUAACCCCGGAAGUGCAUUUGAAACUUAGGGACUUGAGUAUGGGAGAGGGAAGUGGAAUUCCUGGUGUAGCGGUGAAAUGCGUAGAUAUCAGGAGGAACACCGGUGGCGAAGGCGGCUUCCUGGACCAAUACUGACGCUGAGGCGCGAAGGCGUGGGGAGCAAACA